rnacentral:rRNA from 1 species
AUUGAACGCUGGCGGCAUGCUUUACACAUGCAAGUCGAACGGUAACAGGCCGCAAGGUGCUGACGAGUGGCGAACGGGUGAGUAAUGCAUCGGAACGUGCCCAGUCGUGGGGGAUAACGCAGCGAAAGCUGCGCUAAUACCGCAUACGAUCUAUGGAUGAAAGCGGGGGACCGUAAGGCCUCGCGCGAUUGGAGCGGCCGAUGUCAGAUUAGGUAGGUGGUGGGGUAAAGGCUCACCAAGCCAACGAUCUGUAGCUGGUCUUAGAGGACGACCAGCCAAACUGGGACUGAGACACGGCCCAGACUCCUACGGGAGGCAGCAGUGGGGAAUUUUGGACAAUGGGCGCAAGCCUGAUCCAGCAAUGCCGCGUGCAGGAAGAAGGCCUUCGGGUUGUAAACUGCUUUUGUACGGAACGAAACGGCCCUGGUUAAUACCCGGGGCUAAUGACGGUACCGUAAGAAUAAGCACCGGCUAACUACGUGCCAGCAGCCGCAGUAAGAC